rnacentral:rRNA from 1 species
GACGACGCUGGCGGCGUGCCUAAUACAUGCAAGUAGGACGAGUUGCGAACGGGUGAGUAACGCGUGGUAACCUACCUAUUAGAGGGGGAUAACUAAUGGAAACGAUAGCUAAUAACGCAUACUAGUAGAUGGAACUGCGUUGUAUUAGCUAGUAGGGGGGGUAAAUGCGCACCUAGGCGACGAUCUCUAGCUGGUCGUAGAGGUUUAUCAGCCACACUGGGACUGAGACCCGGCCCAGACUCCUACGGAAGGCAGCAGUGGGGACUUUUGCACAAUGGGCGCAAGCCUGAUGCAGCCAUGCCGCGUGUAUGAAGAAGGCCUUAGGGUUGUAAAGUACUUUCAGCGGGGAGGCGUUACCCGCAGAAGAAGCACCGGCUAACUCCGUGCCAGCAGCCGCGGUAAUAC